rnacentral:rRNA from 1 species
UACGUAGGGUGCAAGCGUUGUCCGGAAUUAUUGGGCGUAAAGAGCUCGUAGGCGGUCUGUCGCGUCGGCUGUGAAAACUCGGGGCUCAACCCCGAGCCUGCAGUCGAUACGGGCAGACUAGAGUGCAGUAGGGGAGACUGGAAUUCCUGGUGUAGCGGUGAAAUGCGCAGAUAUCAGGAGGAACACCGGUGGCGAAGGCGGGUCUCUGGGCUGUAACUGACGCUGAGGAGCGAAAGCGUGGGGAG